rnacentral:rRNA from 1 species
AUGCGUAGGGGGCAAGCGAUAUCCGGAAUUAUUGGGCGUAAAGGGUGCGUCGACGGCAAUAAAAGUUUCUUGUCAAAUAUCUUGGCUCAACCAAGUAACGAAAGAAAUACUGUAUAGCUAGAGUAUAGGAGAGGUAAGUGGGACUACAUGUGUAGCGGUAAAAUGCGUAAAUAUAUGGAAGAACACCAGUGGCGAAAGCGGCUUACUAGCCUGAUACUGACGUUGAGGCACGAAAGCGUGGGGAGCAAACAGGAUUAGAUACCCUGGUAGUCCACGCCCUAAACGAUGAGUACUAAGUGCUGGAGCAAUUCAGCGCUGAAGUUAACGCAUUAAGUACUCCGCCUGAGUAGUACGUACGCAAGUAUGAAACUUAAAGGAAUUGACGGGG